rnacentral:rRNA from 1 species
UACGAAGGGCGCUAGCGUUGUUCGGAAUCACUGGGCGUAAAGCGCACUCAGGCGGACCGAUAAGUCGGGGGUGAAAGCCCGGGGCUCAACCUCGGAAUUGCCUUCGAUACUGCCGGUCUCGAGUCCGGGAGAGGUGAGUGGAAUUCCUAGUGUAGAGGUGAAAUUCGUAGAUAAUAGGAAGAACACCAGUGGCGAAGGGGGCUCACGGGCCCGGUACUGACGGUCAGGUGUGAAAGCGUGGGGAGCAAACAGG